rnacentral:tRNA from 1 species
GCUCUAAUCGUCUAGUUGGACAGGACGCUAGCCUUUCACGUUAGAAACCGGAGUUCGAAUCUCCGUUAGAGUA